GUAAGAGGAGAGCCCAGAAGCAGAGCAUUGUGUCCGUCCUGGAGAGGGUCAUGUUGGGAGGUAUGCCAUUGCAGGACUCUGGAAAGUGUCUAAACAUUCACCUAGACCUUCUGCCCAUGCCUCCACUCUAUCUGAAGCCAAGGAUGAUGCUGAUGCUGGUCACAGCCUGGGUGCGUCAUCCAGACCACCCUACAGUCAUCACCACGCCGCCGCAUUUUCCUGGUCUCACCUGUGCCCCCAAAGCAACUGCUGGACAGUCCGCCACCAAUGUCACCGCAUUCCCCACAGCUGACUGAGUGAGCCACUUCGUCAGACGAAGGACUUGGUGUCCGAAAAGCUUCAGGCUGCUGGUGAGAAUAUCCAAAGGGAGAGCUCUUUUCUGUCCAAUACUUACCUGAGGAGUUGAAGGAAUCCUGGGCCGUCAGUCUCCAAUCCCUUAUUCCAUCUUGGGACGGGUAAUGAAGUGGAACCCUGAGCUUUUGUGAUCCCCUACCACUAUAUGUGGUGACAUGCUGUUUUAUUUCAAUGUUAUUGUG